CUGGGAGACUCUUAGCUGUACACUUUGAAUGAUUCCCUGCUCACCUGCUGCACUCUGUCAACUAGCAAGGAAAAUUUUAGGGCAGAAGCCUAGGAUGCAGCCAGGUUCAGAAACCUCUCACUGGGCCUUGCGGUGAAUCCAUGCUCACACAUGGGCUGCCUGCCAAACAUUAACUAAAAUACUCACGCUUGUUUUCGACAACGGUCCUCAGGUUAAAUUUCACCAAGUGCUAUUUUGGGUGAGACGCUAUGGUAGAAAUGUCUCCAGAUUCCGGGUGGCUGUAAUGCCUCUGCAAAGCCACCUUUCAGCAUGUCCCAUUUGCUGUGCUUUCAAGUACUCAACUGUGUUGGUGCCUUUACAAGAUUCAGCCCCAAAGCUCUCCAGGAUCUCUUGAGAUGUGAAAUAAAUUUUAGAAUGAUUCUUCCAUUUCUGCAGAAAUGUUGGAUUUUGGUAGGGAUUGUAUUAGAUCUGUUGAUCACUUUGAAUAGUACUACUAUCUUGACAAUAUGAAGUCUUUCAAUUCAUUAACACAGAUGUCUUUUCAUUUAUUUGUGUCUUCUCUAAUUUCUUUCAGCAGCAUUUGUAGUUAUCACUGUAUAGUCUUUAGUCUCCUUGGUUAGGUUUAUUCUAAAAUAUUUUAUUCUUUUUGAUGCUAAUAUAAAUGUUUUGGUGUAGGUUUAACUUGUGGGCCUUCAAUUAUUAUAUAUUUAAUAUAAAGUUUCUGAUAAGAUUUUUUGCUCAUUUUUGCAUUGAGUUUUUGUACUUCCUCUUCCCCUUAAUCAAUUUUUACUGUUACCAAAUAAUGAUUUUAUAAUCCCUAUAUUCUUUCUACAUUUAUUAGUUGACAUUUGACUAUAAAUAAGAGCUUUUUCCUUACUAUUAUUAUUUAACAGAAUGCUUAAAAUUGUCAUAGGCUUGUGCAGUAGAAGCCGCUUCAUGCUCUCUCUUGUGUCCUCUGAAAUGAUCAUCAUUCUUCAAGUGCUACCAUACUUUCUGAAAUGGUAAGAUAUUUCAAGCUCGUUUUUAACUUCUACAACCCAAGCCUGGAAUAAACCAUUUCUCCAAGGAUCUCUGGUUCA
rnacentral:lncRNA from 13 species